GGAUUACGCAGCCGGGUACGUUGGUCUGCAGAGAGUGACGCCGCGGGCUAAUGUCGGAGUGGCGGGAUAUUCAACACAUUGCAGACACAGUUUGAACGUGAUUAAAAAUGCCAGAAGUAAAGUCCAUGUUUCGAGAAGUCCUUCCUAAACAAGGUCAGCUCUCCUUUGAGGAUGUUCCUGCUAUGGUGCUCUGCAAACCAAAGCUGCUGCCACUUAAAUCAGUAACGUUGGAGAAGAUGGAGAAAAUGCAGAGGGAAGCACAGGAGACCAUUCGGCAACAGGAAAUGGCACAAAAAGAACAGAAAUAAGAUCAUUUCCCCAAUCUCACUGGAUUGAUUGUAUCCACAAAACCUGUCACAGUUACAUUCCAAGUUGUAAUGAUAACUUACCAUCAUCAAUUACAUCAGUAUUGUGAAACUUCAA